rnacentral:rRNA from 1 species
CAGUCGAGCGGUACAGAGAGUAGCUUGCUUCUCUGCUGACGAGCGGCGGACGGGUGAGUAAUGCUUGGGAAUAUGCCUUAUGGUGGGGGACAACAGUUGGAAACGACUGCUAAUACCGCAUGAUGUCUACGGACCAAAGUGGGGGACCUUCGGGCCUCACGCCAUAAGAUUAGCCCAAGUGGGAUUAGCUAGUUGGUGAGGUAAUGGCUCACCAAGGCGACGAUCCCUAGCUGGUUUGAGAGGAUGAUCAGCCACACUGGGACUGAGACACGGCCCAGACUCCUACGGGAGGCAGCAGUGGGGAAUAUUGCACAAUGGGCGCAAGCCUGAUGCAGCCAUGCCGCGUGUGUGAAGAAGGCCUUCGGGUUGUAAAGCACUUUCAGUAAGGAGGAAAGGUUAAGUGUUAAUAGCACUUACCUGUGACGUUACUUACAGAAGAAGCACCGGCUAACUCCGUGCCAGCAGCCGCGGUAAUACGGAGGGUGCGAGCGUUAAUCGGAAUUACUGGGCGUAAAGCGUACGCAGGCGGUUUGUUAAGCGAGAUGUGAAAGCCCCGGGCUCAACCUGGGAACUGCAUUUCGAACUGGCAAACUAGAGUGUGAUAGAGGGUGGUAGAAUUUCAAGUGUAGCGUUGAAAUGCGUAUAGAUCUGAAGGAAUACCGAUGGCGAAGGCAGACACCUGGGUCAACACUGACGCUCAUGUACGAAAGCGUGGGGAGCACACAGGAUUAGAUACCCUGGUAGUCCACGCCGUAAACGAUGUCU